CCUGGUGAUAAUAGCUGUGUGGAACCACCCGAUCCCAUCCCGAACUCGGAAGUGAAACGCAUAUGCGCCGAUGGUAGUGUGGUGUGGCCUAAGCCAUGCAAGAGUAGGUCAUCGCCAGGG
rnacentral:rRNA from 1 species